rnacentral:lncRNA from 1 species
AUCGGAUGACCUUUGAGGUCGUGAGCUUCUGGGAUCCGGGAAACGAUCUUGCCUCCAAUCCUCCACGCAGCUACAUCGCUGUUUACAUGAAAUAAUAUUGUACCUUGAAUAGAGUGUUAGAGAUAAAAGAAUAAUAUUCAAGGUAUAUAAUACAAUUGUUUCAAUUUCAAUUUUGACUUUGACUCAAAUAAUUCUAGGGUUUAUUUGUGCCUAAUUGGAGGUAGGUUUAAUCUUGAUUAAUUUCACCCUAUGGAUUAAGAAUAUUGUAAUUAAAGUUUAAAUCAACAUGAUUAAAAUAUAAUACUGUAUCGACAAUUUAGAUUUUACAGGUUAUGGUGUGAAUGUGAAAGUAUAGCUUCAGCCUCCGAAACUACCGCCAAAACCAACUUCUCGAUGUCCAGGUAUCUCACUUCUGCUUCCUACAAUGACUGGGAGUGGUAGUAUACCGGCCUCUGAGUGCCCUCUGCUUCUGAGAGCAGUACAGCGCUGACGGCCGUGUCCGAGCAGGCAACGUACAUUGUUAGGGGAUCCCCUCUAGCUUUGUGUGUGGGCUUACAGAUGCUCACACACUCAAACACAACUCCCCCUCACUAUCAAGUGUUAUCUUUUUCUUCUCUCUCUGAUUUCCAACCCCGCCCCCUCCUCCCUAGGGGUCCAAGCUAUACUAUAGGCGACCAACUUCAAAAGUGGUCUCAAAAAAUUAAAUAUAAGUGACCAACCUCGAAGUUGGUCGCUAGAGUUGGUCAGAAAAAGCCUCCUUUCUUGUAGUGCCAGGGAGGGCAUUUAUACUGUGUCCGGCCCUUAUUUACUCCAUGGGGUUACCUCGGCUCAAAGGCCCUUGGUCCCGCGGUCUACGGCCCGUCACACGGGUCGUGGUGCCGACAGUUGCGAUCCAUGGUUCGUGCAACGGACCGUGGUACCAACAACAACAAUACCCAACACCUUUCCUGUCCCGUCUCGAUUUUGCCCCUGUUGUCAUAAACGGGGUCGGGGCUAUAAGAAAACACUGAAAAUCCAGGGUAAAAACAGCAAUUUUACCAAGGAAUAUAAAACAAGGACUUAAGUCAAAUAAAACAAUUAUAAAGGUUAUAACAUAACCGUAUAAACUGUCAACUAUCAACCAACAGGGGGUUGUAAUAUAAAAGUUUCAAUAAAACGUUGACAGGACCUAAGUGUAAUAAAUAAAAGUUUUUUUAUAAUAAAAACUAACUUGAGGUCAAGUAUUACUGUGCAGGUAAUUAACCCAAGACUCGUGACAAAAUAAUUAUAAAAGCAGAAGGGCCAAAGUGAAAAAGUUUCAAAUAUCCGUUAAUGGACCAAUCACAACGGCCGGAUUUUAUUAAGCUUAAUUAGUUACGAGAUUAGUUUAAUCUUUGUAUUAAAUAUCAAUGUAUUACAAUACAAUUAAUUAAUUCAAUACAAAGUUAAUACUGGUAAAUACCAGAUUAAAGAAAUAAGUCUUAAACUGUCUUCUCCUCCUCCUUAACGACAGUUUAUUCCGGUAACGCCCCCUUUCUCCAGUGGGCGACGAACCCUAGCCAGCAAUCUGGCAACUCCGCAGCACUUCGACCAUCCUCGGCUUGAGGAAGGCACUACAUUGUCGGCCCUCCUCCGCAACCCCAAGUUUAUAGGGGCAUGGAGCAAGAAAAAUCUUUUGAAUAAAGAAAAUAUUUGUAAUGUCAAUAAAUAUUUUGUUAAAGAAUAGUUAUAAGAAAAAAAUUAUUAUUAAGAAAAAUUAUUAUUAAGGGAAAAAAGUUAUAAAAAUAUAGUGUAGGGUUAUUUAUUUUAUAAAACUAUUUUGGGUCGGAUUUUUUAUGGGUUGGAUACCUUAAAACCCGAACUUGUACAAUCUAGGGUAAUUUUGAUCUGGUUAGGGUUGGAGUUAGAGUCAAAAGUUUUGAGAGGAUGAAACAUUAGACCCAAAUUCUACCCGACCAUCUCGGGUUCGGGUUUUGCUCUACCUAAAUUUUUAAUAAAGAAAAAAAAUUGAUUCUAAGAAGCUAAACGAUUCUAGAUCGACAAAGUGGACAAGAUCUAUUCCUAUCAAAAAUCCAUUGAAACGCACAGGAAAUAUGAAAAAAAUGUUUACAAGGAAGCUCGACGACCAAGCAUUUCAUUCCUUCAAAUUCCUCCAAACAUAUUGCACACAUUGUCUGAUCGUUAAAAUCAUAAACAUCAUCGCCCCAGUUGAAUAUCGUAGAAUCCACGACUAGUUUCACUCGCAAAUCUCGCUCCAUAACCAUAUCAUUCUCUUCUAAAAGCUUGUCAUAUGAAAAAGCAAACAAUUCAUAGUUUAAUCUGAUCGACACAAUCAAAAAUUCCGUCGAUCCAACUCCCUGGGUUUCAUAGUAUAGGAAGCGAGAAAGCGCAUUUUCGAUUCUAUUCAUUACUUGUUCGUUAACGUGAACGUAGCGAACGAUAUCUUGAACGGUUUCCUUAGUGGAAUCGAAGGAACCAAAAUGUUUGUCGAUUUCAGAAAUCAGAUUGGGUACGAAUGACGAUAAACUAGUUAUUGAUUGUGGUAACGACAAAGAUGAGUUCCUAAUGAUGUGUUUUCUGUCAACGAUUACUUCCAUGAUUACCGGCUGGAAUGUAAUUGCAUCAUUGUUGUUCAGUUCCCUUCGUUUUGAUUUGAAUUCACAGACGACUGUAUAUUUCUUGUUGGCGAAUUCGACUUUCUCUGAUGAAUCCCAUGCACUUUUGAGUGUAGAAGAUGCCAUUGUUCAAGUUACUUUUUGA